UACGAAGGGGGCGAGCGUUGUUCGGAUUUACUGGGCGUAAAGGGCGCGUAGGCGGCUUGGCAAGUGGAUGGUGAAAUCCCUCGGCUUAACCGAGGAACUGCCGUCCAAACUGCUUCGCUUGAGACCGGGAGAGGUGAGUGGAAUUCCCAGUGUAGCGGUGAAAUGCGUAGAUAUUGGGAGGAACACCAGUGGCGAAGGCGGCUCACUGGACCGGUACUGACGCUGAUGCGCGAAAGCGUGGGGAGCAAACGGG
rnacentral:rRNA from 1 species